rnacentral:lncRNA from 1 species
ACACCUCCCAGCCCAGAUGUAAACUCAGCACCAAGCAAAAUCAGCUUCCCCUCGAAUCUGUGUGUUCUGUGUUCUUCCAUAGAAGACUGAACAUCCCAGUGCUGAGCCAUUUGUUAUCCUGUGCAUGACACCUCUGGGGGUGACAGCCACAUUCAUCAAAACUCCAGUCUCUUAAAGGGAGAAUGUUCAGGAACUAUCUGAGCAGCUAUCGGAGAAUUCACCCUUGCCUCAUGACUUUUCUAAAACUUAAUAAAAAUCUUCUUUUCAAUCAAACUCUUCCAAAGGAUACAGACCUCAUUUCUCUAAUUUCACGGAGAAGCCAAAGCAAAUAUCAACCAGUUUCUAUGUUUUAGUUUCAACUGCCUUAACGAUGCUCUCUUACUCAUGCCAUGCUGUUGAUUUCCUUUCUGACUGGCUCACACAAGGAUUUUACUCAAGAUAGAUUCUGCUCUGUGUUUGUACUUUGAGUCACAUACCUUUGGAGCCUUUGAGCUUGAAGGGAUGUUAGAUCUCCUUACCUCUUUGAAGACGAAGAAAUGAAAGCUGGAAGAAGGGAAGGGGCAUCCUAGGUUUACUCUCAUGAAUGGCACAUUCAAGAUCAAAUGAGCUCUGCACAAAAGCAAAAUACAUACAACAGAACAAAAAAUUAAACAUGUUUAGUUUUCUGCUAAUAGCAUAGCAUCUAUAACACCCUAAAGACAAUCUUCUUUGCUCAACAUUUCAGAGUUUACCCAAAGCUUUCACACAAAUUAUUUUAAUCCUCACAACCAUGCAAGGUUUUUUUUUUGUUUUGUUUUGUUUUGUUUUCUUAAACAACUGAGGAAAUGAGCACUCAGAGUGGCCAAAAGGACAGCAAAGGUCAUAUCUUUGGGUCUGAAUGACAGCUCAAAUCCAAAGGUUCAGCUCCACAGGCAGGAACACAUCACAAAAUGAUUCUGUCCAUCAGUGAGCAGCAGUGAACACAAACCUACUUCACAAUCUAAAUAGAUUCACUUUUCCCAUUGGUCUGAAACUUUCCAAACUUAGCUUUGACCAGCAAAAUUGUCCUGCUGUCCCUGGAAGUGG